GUCUGCCAUUCAGUUGGUUAGAGCGUGGUGCUGAUAACGCCAAGGUUGCAGGUUCGAUCCCCGGAUGGGACA
rnacentral:tRNA from 1 species